GACGAACGCUGGCGGCGGGCUUAACACAUGCAAGUCGAACGGAAAGGCCCCUUUGGGGGUACUCGAGUGGCGAACGGGGGAGUAACACGGGAGUAACCUGCCCUUGACUUCGGGAUAACUUCAGGAAACUGGGGCUAAUACCGGAUAGGAAUCCUAGCUGCAUGGGGGGGGUUGGAAAGCUUCGGCGGUUUUGGGUGGACUGGCGGCGUAUCAGCUGGUUGGUGGGGUAGUGGCUUACCAAGGCUUCGACGCGUAGCCGGCCUGUGAGGGUGACCGGCCACCUUGGGUCUGACAUGCGGCCCCGACGCCUACGGGUGGCAGCUGUGGGGAAUCCUGCUCCAUGGGCGGCAGCCGGAUGCAGCAGCGCCGCGUGCGGGAUGACCGCCUUCUGGUUGUAAACCGCUUUCAGCAGGGGCGAAGCUUGUGGUGACGGUACCUGCAGAAGAAGCACCGGCUAACUACGUG
rnacentral:rRNA from 1 species